rnacentral:rRNA from 1 species
UCGCCUGUUUUUACAAAAACAUUUCUAUUAAAUAUAAUUAAUAGUAAAAUCUGCUCAAUGAAAAUUAAAUAGCCGCAACACGUGCUAAGGUAGUACAAUAACUCGUCUUUUAAUUAAAGACUAAACAAAAGAUUUAACAUUUUAAGCAAUAUAAAUAUUUAAACUAUUUAAAUUAUUUAAAUUUUUAAAAAACAAUUAUACAAAAAAAAGACGAUAAGACCCUACUGAACUUAACUUAAGUUAAACUGGGGUAGUUAAUUAAACACAUCUUAAUUUAAAUAUAUCUACAUAAGACCUAUUACAAAUAAAUAAAAAGUCAAGUUACCAUAGGGAUAACAGCGUAAUAUCUCUCAAACCCUUAUUUAAAAAGAAGUUUACGACCUCGAUGUUGAAUUAAUUUUCUAAUUCACGCAAUAGUAAAAAAAGAAAGUCUGUUCGACUUUUAAACAAUUACAUGAUCUGAG